UACGUAGGGGGCUAGCGUUGUCCGGAAUCAUUGGGCGUAAAGCGCGUGUAGGCGGUCCGGUAAGUCCGCUGUGAAAGUCGGGGGCUCAACCCUCGAAUGCCGGUGGAUACUGUCGGGCUAGAGUGCGGAAGAGGCGAGUGGAAGUUCCUGGUGUAGCGGUGAAAUGCGCAGAUAUCAGGAGGAACACCUAUUGCGAAGGCAGCUCGCUGGGACGUAACUGACGCUGAGACGCGAAAGCGUGGGGAGCAAACAGG
rnacentral:rRNA from 1 species